GCGUGAAUGAUGAAGGCCUUCGGGUUGUAAAAUUCUUUUAGUGGGGAAGAUAAUGACGGUACCCACAGAAUAAGCUCCGGCUAACUUCGUGCCAGCAGCCGCGGUAAUACGAAGGGAGCUAGCGUUGUUCGGAAUUACUGGGCGUAAAGGGCGCGUAGGCGGUUCGACAAGUCAGGUGUGAAAUCCCCGGGCUCAACCCGGGAACUGCGCUUGAUACUGUCGUGCUUGAAUUCGGUAGAGGUGAGUGGAAUUCCCAGUGUAGAGGUGAAAUUCGU
rnacentral:rRNA from 1 species